GCCAGGCACAGUGGUGCACGCCUGUAAUCCCAGUAGUUUAGGAAGCUGAGACAGAAGGAUCACCGGAGUUCAAAGCCAGCCUCAGCAAUGGGGAGGCCCUAAGCAACUCAGUGAGACCCUGUCUCUA
rnacentral:sRNA from 1 species